rnacentral:rRNA from 1 species
UCCUUGAACGGAUGGAGAUCAAAGCCGGGGNUCGCAAGACCUGGCGUUUGAAGAGGGGCCCGCGUCUGAUUAGCUAGUUGGUGAGGUAACGGCCCACCAAGGCGACGAUCAGUAUCCGGCCUGAGAGGGCGGACGGACACACUGGGACUGAGACACGGCCCAGACUCCUACGGGAGGCAGCAGUGGGGAAUUGUUCGCAAUGGGCGCAAGCCUGACGACGCAACGCCGCGUGGAGGAUGAAGGUCUUCGGAUUGUAAACUCCUGUUGCCCGGGACGAAUGGCUCCAACCUAAUACGUUGGAGUGUGACGGUACCGGGUGACGA